CCUACGGGGUGCUGUAGUGGGGAAUAUUGGACAAUGGGCGAAAGCCUGAUCCAGCCAUGCCGCGUGUGUGAAGAAGGCCUUCGGGUUGUAAAGCACUUUCAGUGGGGAAGAAAGCCUUGGGGCUAAUACCCUCGAGGAAGGACAUCACCCACAGAAGAAGCACCGGCUAACUCCGUGCCAGCAGCCGCGGUAAUACGGAGGGUGCGAGCGUUAAUCGGAAUUACUGGGCGUAAAGCGCGCGUAGGCGGUCUGAUAAGCCGGUUGUGAAAGCCCCGGGCUCAACCUGGGAACGGCAUCCGGAACUGUCAGGCUAGAGUGCAGGAGAGGAAGGUAGAAUUCCCGGUGUAGCGGUGAAAUGCGUAGAGAUCGGGAGGAAUACCAGUGGCGAAGGCGGCCUUCUGGACUGACACUGACGCUGAGGUGCGAAAGCGUGGGUAGCAAACAGGAUUAGAUACCCCUGUAGUC
rnacentral:rRNA from 1 species